GUAGCUUAAACCACUAAAGCAUAACACUGAAAAUGUU
rnacentral:tRNA from 1 species